CAAUUAUUCUAAUGUUGUUUCGUCUUAUGGUGUCACUUAUCUCUCAAAUUCUCCCCUCGUGGCCCAGUAGCUGUUUGUACCUCUUUUGCUCAGCUUCUUUAUUCUCUGUCAUUUGGUCUUCUAUAUUGCUAAUUCUUUCUUCUGCCUCAUUUAUCCUAGCAGAGAGAGCCUCCAUUUUUGAUUGCACCUCAUUAAUAGCUUUUUUGUUUUCAACUUGGUUAGAUUUUAGUUCUUUUAUUUCUCCAGAAAGGGCUUUUAUAUCUCCCGAGAGGGUUUCUCUAAUAUCUUCCAUGCCUUUUCGAGACCGGCUAGAACCUUGAGAAUCAUCAUUCUGAACUCUAGAUCUGACAUAUUACCAAUGUCUGUAUUGAUUAGGUCCCUAGCCUUCGGUACUGCCUCUUGUUCUUUUUUUUUGUGGUGAAUUUUUCCGCCUUGGCAUUUUGUCCAGACAAGAGUAUAUGAAGGAGCAAGUAAAAUACUAAAAGGGUGGCAACAACCCCAGGAAAAUAUGCUUUAACCAAAUCAGAAGAGAUCCCAAAUCGUGAGUGGGGAGAAUGGGGAUAAAAAGAGGUUCAGAAAGAAAAAAAAGAAAAGAAAAUUAAAAAAAGAAAACGAAUAAGGAAAAAAUAUAAAAAAGAAAAAAUACAUAUAGUACAUAAACUAGUUAAAAAUGUUAAAAAAGAAAAGGGUAAAGGUUAAAACAAAUUUAGCAGAAUAAGAGAAAAAAAAUUGAAAAAGAAAAAAAAGUUAAAUUAACUGCAAGAUUAAAGAGUCAUGGGGAGAAAGCCAUGAGUUCCGUGCUUUGCUUUCUCCUCCUCUGGAAUUCUGCUGCUCUCCUUGGUAUUUAAACUGCACUCCUUGGUAGGUGAACUUAGUCUUGGCUAGAUUUCUUGUUGAUCUUCUGGGGGAGGGGCCUGGUGUAGUGAUUCUCAAGUGUCUUUGCCCCAGGCGGAAUUGCACCACCCUUACCAGGGGCCGGGCUGAGUAAUCCACUUGGGUUUGCUUUCAGGAGCUUUUGUUCCCUGAGCGCUUUCCGUAGAGUUCCGAAGGACGGGAAUACAAAUGGCGGCCUCCUGGUCUCCGCCGGGAGGAGCCGAGAGCCCGGGGCUGCACUCCUCAGUGCGUCAUCAGAGAACAGCGCCCAGUUACUCCUGUCUGCCUGACCUCUGGCGGCGCUGGAGCUCACUGAGCUUGCGACCCGUUUAAGACUGGUGAAAAUUUAUUACUGGCUGACCCCAACCUGGGAACCCACUUCGGGUCACUCUAAUCUGAAAGAAUUAGUCCCAAGGAUCUAAAACUUCAAGCUCUGAAAAAGGUUAGCCAAGCAAACGAGAGGCCAAGCAAACGAGAGGCAGAGGUUGAACGUCAAGCCUGCCCUGAAGUCAGCUGUUCUGUCUCCCACCCCAGCCGGCUUCUUGGUUAAUGGACCUCAGUUUCUUAGCACAAGAUGGAGGGGUCGGUGGGAGAAGCAGACUCCCCGUUGAGCAGAGAGCCUGAUGCAGGGCUCCAUCCCAGGACCCCGGGAUCAUGAUCUGAGCUGAAGAUAGACGCUUCACUGACUGACCCCCCAGGUCUACAUUGCGCCGUGUUUGUGAGGAAAAGGGAUCUUGGCACUGCUUGCUGCGUGCGGCUCCGCGUCUGGCUUGGGCCCCCUUUGCAUGUAAGAGCUUCAAAAAUAUGUGAAUAGUGAGUAAAAGAAGUGGUAACAAAAGAAUUUUUGGACAUAUUCAUUGUUUUCGGCUUGAUAGGACAAAUCGCGUCACCUUGCUGAUGAUAGAACUCCAAGUAAAUUCUAAAGAAGCGUGUUCCAUCAAUCCUAUUUUAUUACACAAAUAACUCUCUUUCUGCUUUGUGUCCGGAACAACUGAUAUCCUUAUUUCAGCUCCUUAUUUCUAGCAAGCAGCUUAUUUUCUUGCUACAGUGAUCUAAUUUGCCAAUUGAAUCACUAAUAACCAGUUUCUGACCCCUGCUUCUCCACCUCAAGAAUAAUUUAACAGAUAGAUAGUACUUUGUUUCAAAGUCCAUUAGAAUAUCAGAAGAAUGCUUUGUUAAUGACUGAAAGCAUGUGAUAAAAUUUAAUUAUAUAAUUAAUCGUUGGUAGAGAAGUAGAUAAUUUGGUUUUACCCUUACUCUAAUCAUACCUCUAUUCUGUUUUUUAAAUAGGUAAACUGUUUAUUUUUAUUUGAUAGUCUACUAGCCACU